rnacentral:rRNA from 1 species
UACGGAGGAUCCAAGCGUUAUCCGGAUUCAUUGGGUUUAAAGGGUGCGUAGGUGGCUUGUUAAGUCAGUGGUGAAAUCUCCGAGCUUAACUCGGAAACUGCCAUUGAUACUGAUGAGCUUGAGUGUAUUUGAAGUGGGCGGAAUAUGACAUGUAGCGGUGAAAUGCUUAGAUAUGUCAUAGAACACCAAUUGCGAAGGCAGGUUACUACUAAUGGAUUGACGCUGAUGGACGAAAGCGUGGGUAGCGAACAGG